rnacentral:rRNA from 1 species
GAUGAACGCUGGCGGCGUGCCUAAUACAUGCAAGUCGAGCGAACAGACGAGGAGCUUGCUCCUCUGACGUUAGCGGCGGACGGGUGAGUAACACGUGGAUAACCUACCUAUAAGACUGGGAUAACUUCGGGAAACCGGAUCUAAUACCGGAUAAUAUAUUGAACCGCAUGGUUCAAUAGUGAAAGACGGUUUUGCUGUCACUUAUAGAUGGAUCCACGCCGCAUUAGCUAGUUGGUAAGGUAACGGCUUACCAAGGCAACGAUGCGUAGCCGACCUGAGAGGAUGAUCGGCCACACUGGAACUGAGACACGGUCCAGACUCCUACGGGAGGCAGCAGUAGGGAAUCUUCCGCAAUGGGCGAAAGCCUGACGGAGCAACGCCGCGUGAGUGAUGAAGGUCUUCGGAUCGUAAAACUCUGUUAGUAGGGAAGAACAAAUGUGUAAGUAACUAUGCACGUCUUGACGGUACCUAAUCAGAAAGCCACGGCUAACUACGUG